rnacentral:lncRNA from 1 species
CAGCUGGCCUUUUCGCCAAGCAGAUGCAGAAGAAGUUCAGCAGGGCCCAGGAGAAGGUUCUGCAGAAAUUGGGGAAAACCGUAGAAACCAAAGAUGAGCGAUUUGAACAAAGUGCCAGCAACUUCUACCAACAGCAGGCAGAGGGCCACAGGCUGUACAAAGAUCUGAAGAACUUCCUUAGCGCAGUCAAAGUGAUGCGUGAGAGCUCAAAGAGAGUAUCAGAGACCCUGCAGGAGAUCUACAACAGCGACUGGGAUGGGCAUGAGGACCUGAAGGCCAUCGUGGGGGAGAGAAUUGCCAAGCGGGGCCGGAAACUGGUCGACUACGAUAGUGCCCGACACCACCUGGAGGCUGUACAGAAUGCUAAGAAGAAGGACGAGGCCAAGAUGGCCAAGGCAGAAGAAGACUUCAGCAAGGCCCAGGUUGUGUUUGAAGACCUGAACCAGGAACUCCUGGAGGAGCUGCCUGUUCUUUAUAACAGUCGUAUUGGCUGCUACGUGACCGUCUUCCAAAACAUUUCCAACCUGAGAGACGUCUUCUACAGGGAGAUGAGCAAGCUGAACCACAGUCUCUAUGAAGUGAUGAGCAAACUGGAGAAGCAGCAUUCCAACAAAGUCUUUGUGGUAAAGGGCCUAUCAAGCAGCAGCAGGCGCUCCUUAGUCAUCUCUCCCCCGGUGCAAACCUGUACUGCCUUCAGCCCCGUCAGCCCAGUGACCUCACCUACCAGCCCCAAUGCU